rnacentral:rRNA from 1 species
AUCAUGGCUCAGGAUGAACGCUAGCUACAGGCUUAACACAUGCAAGUCGAGGGGCAGCGGGAUUGAAGCUUGCUUCAAUUGCCGGCGACCGGCGCACGGGUGAGUAACGCGUAUCCAACCUUCCGCAUACUCGGGGAUAGCCUUCUGAAAGGAGAUUAAUACCCGAUGGUAUCAAGAGAUUGCAUGAUAACUUGAUUAAAGAAUUUCGGUAUGCGAUGGGGAUGCGGUUCCA